GUUGGGGGCGGAGCCUGGGCCGCGGGGCACGGCGCGCCUCUUUGGCUGCGCAGCUCUGGGCGGGCGCCUGAAUCCCUCCGCGGACUCCGGCGCGGGUCGGGAUCGGGGUCGCGGCGGCGCCAUGGUGCUGUGCCCGGUGAUCGGGAAGCUGCUGCAAAAGCACGUGGUGCUGGCCAGCGCCUCCCCGCGCCGCCAGGAGAUCCUCAGCAACGCAGGCCUCCGGUUCGAGGUGGUCCCUUCCAGGUUCAAGGAGAAGCUGCCCAAGGCCUCGUUCCCCACCCCGCAUGCGUACGCCGUGGAGACCGCCAAGCAGAAGGCCCUGGAGGUGGCCAGCAGGAUGUACCAGAAGGACCUGAGAGCCCCCGACGUCGUCAUCGGCGCAGACACCAUCGUGGCAGUGGAGGGGCUGAUCCUGGAGAAGCCCGUGGACAAGCAGGAUGCCUACCGCAUGCUGUCCAGGCUGAGCGGGAAGGAGCACAGCGUCUUCACCGGAGUGGCCAUCGUCCACUGCUGCAGCCACGACGGCCAGCUGGACACGCACGUGUCGGACUUCCAUGAGGAGACCCGGGUGAAGUUCUCGGAGCUGUCGGAGGAGCUGCUGUGGGAGUACAUUGACAGCGGGGAGCCCAUGGACAAGGCGGGCGGCUACGGCAUCCAGGCGCUGGGCGGCAUGCUGGUGGAGCACGUCUGCGGGGACUUCCUCAACGUCGUGGGCUUCCCGCUGAACCGCUUCUGCAAGGAGCUGGCGCGGCUGUACUACCCGCCCCGGGCCCAGGACGUGCAGCGGCUCAAGCACGACUCCAUACCCGCCGUGGACACCUUCGAGGAUCUGAGCGACGCCGAGUGUGGCGGCCCGGACCCUGCUGGGAGCCACGAGGGUGGCCGUGGUGGCGAGAAGGCGGGUGAACGGCCACAGGCUCUGGGGGCGCCACACGCCGAUCUCAACGGAGCGGCAGAGAAUCGGCCGUCUUUCCCCACCGGCCUCCUGGAGCUGAUGGGCGCCUUCAAAGCAUCCAAGGCGCUGUUCACGGCUUGCAAGCUCCAGGUGUUUGAUGUAUUACAAGACCAAGGCCCUCUGAAGGCCGCGGACGUGGCCCGCAGAAUAGACGCCUCCACGGGCGGGACCGAGCGGCUGCUGGAUGCCUGCGUGGCCCUGGGCUUACUGGACAGGACGGACAGAGGUUACAGCAACACGGAGGCGGCCACUCUCCACCUGGUGUCGGACGGCGAACACUCCCUCCACGGCCUCGCCGUGUACCACGACGACCACGUGUGGGACCUCCUGACACACCUGGACCGGGCCGUGCGGGAGGGAGCAGGCCCGACCCACAGGGCACUGGGGGCGAUGCAGGCGGAACCCCUGUGUCAGGACGCCCCCCACGAGGGUGCAGAGGGGACGCUGCGGUUCAUGAGGGCCGCGCACGGCCUCAGCACGCUGACCGCACGCCACGUGGCCACGGCCUUUGACCUGUCCCGCUUCAGCUCCGCCUGCGACCUGGGAGGCUGCACGGGCGCCCUUGCCCGCGAGCUGGCCCAGGAGUACCCACGUCUGGAGGUGACCGUGUUCGACCGCCCGGAGGUCAUCGAGCUCGCCAGGCGCUUUCAGCCCAAGGGACCCCAGACAGGGCGGAUCCGCUUCCUGCCAGGACGCCCUCCCGGAAGCCGAGCUCUACGUCCUGUCAGGAAUCCUGCAGGACCUGCCGGGCGACAAAGUGCACGAGUUACUGAGCAGGAUCUCAAACAGCUGCAAACCAGGCGGCGGCAUCCUGGUGGCGGAAGCAGCCCCGGCCGAGGAGGCGGCGGAGGCGGCGGUGGCGGCGGCGCGGAUCCCCCGGCUGCGGACCCUGAGCCCCAGCGACCACCAGCAGCUGCUGCGGCGACACGGCUUCCGGGACGUGCAGGUGGCGCGGGCGGGGGCCCUGCUGCGCGUGCUCCUGGGCACCCGGGCCGCGCCCUGAGGGCCGUCCCGACGGAAGUGAAGGUCUCCUGGAGGCAGGGGGCGGUGGGGGGGGGGCGUUAAAGGACACAGAAAGCACGGCGCUCUCGGCCCGCGUCUGUGCGGCUCUGCGCGCGGGGGACGCGCAGGCCCCGCGCUCCCUCUCAGCGCCGGAGGACGCCAGGGGCGUCUAGAGCCUGUUUCCCAAUUCUGCCCGUUUGGAGCGAGUUCCUCCCGCGCCCUUUCGGCUGCCAUGUGGGCGGCCUGUUCAGUGGUUCCCAUCGCUGACCCUCGGCCAGUCACUGUGGCCGCAGGACCCACCUCCGCCCCCGCCCCACAGCGCACACCGGUGCCCAGGAUGGUGUCCAGAUGCUCGUUUGUUGGUAAGGACCCCAAGGGACCCACGGGAGGCUGAGUCUGUUUUGCGCAUAGCAGUUUCUUCAAGGGGAGGCCCGUGCAAAACCUUUUGUGCGGCGGUCACGUGGAGGCUGUUAGACUACACGUUCUUGUCUCAAGAGUCCCAGGGGAGGUCCUUUCUAACAGGGCCCCUGUGGGUGUCGACAGAUCACCUGCGCUUUCCAGCGCCAACCACAGACUGUUAGACACAUAACGUACAAGACGGGAGACACAGACACAGUUUUCUCUUGUGUCAGAAGGGACUUUAUCGAAAUAGAACGUGAACCAUGCGCCAAUUAUUGAAAGAAAAAAAAAAAUCGUGCCUCCGCGGGAGGCAGGGAUCGAGGAAGGAAGUGAAACCCUGACUCUAGAGGGAGCCUGGCCGUCGAGGGGGAGUGCCCUCUGCUCUCCCCGUGGGAUGGAGAAAAGAGCGCUCGAGGCCCCUCGGCCCCCUGGACCCCGUAAGGAUGGACCUGCGGCUUCCGUGAAGCAGCAGCCACUCGCCCUGGAGCGCAGAGCAGAGGCUCCGCCCACCCCAGGUCCCCGCCCCUCACCUGGGCGCGGGCUGGGCUCCUGGCGGGGCCACUUCCGCCGCGAGGCGGAGCUGGGGUGACCCGUGCCCGUCCCCUUGGGCCACUUCCGUCAGCCUCCUUCCCCUCCCCGGGAGGAGAGGUGAGUCACGGCGGGUACCUUUGUCUCUCGCCAAGGGCACCUUGUUUCACCCUGGCCAGGUCCCCUGGGAUGACAAGUGACGAGUCCGGGGCUCUUGGAAGGCCUGCGUUCAGGCCCGCUUGGGCGCCCGGGGAUGUCUGGACACGGGGUUUGCUAGAAGAAAGCCCAUAUCUAACCAGAGGUGCCAGGGCGCCCGACCCGGGGACACACAGCCCGCCUUUGUCCUGGUCGCCAAGAGCCCUGCGGGCUGGAGGCGGCGAGGCUGCUGCAGGCUCUGACCCCGAGUCCCCCCCCCCCCCACGACGGUGCCCUUAAACCAAGAACAUUGGAAUUCCCGUCGUGGCUCAUUCAGGGUGAAGAAUCCACCAGGAGGCGCGGUUCCAUCCCUGGCCUCGCUCAGUGGGUCACGGAUCUGCAAGCUGCAUG